rnacentral:tRNA from 1 species
GCCUGGGUGGCUCAGUCGGUUGAGCGUCUGACUUUAGCUCAGGUCAUUAACUCACAGUUCGUGAGUUUGAGCCCCACAUCAGGCU